rnacentral:rRNA from 1 species
AUUGAACGCUGGCGGCAGGCUUAACACAUGCAAGUCGAGCGGAGAUGAGGUGCUUGCACCUUAUCUUAGCGGCGGACGGGUGAGUAAUGCUUAGGAAUCUGCCUAUUAGUGGGGGACAACAUUCCGAAAGGAAUGCUAAUACCGCAUACGUCCUACGGGAGAAAGCAGGGGAUCUUCGGAACUUGCGCUAAUAGAUGAGCCUAAGUCGGAGUAGCUAGUUGGUGGGGUAAAGACCUACCAAGGCGACGAUCUGUAGCGGGUCGGAGAGGAUGAUCCGCCACACUGGGACUGAGACACGGCCCAGACUCCUACGGGAGGCAGCAGUGGGGAAUAUUGGACGAUGGGGGGAACCCUGAUCCAGCCAUGCCGCGUGUGUGAAGAAGGCCUUAUGGUUGUAAAGCACUUUUAGCGAGGAGGAGGCUACUGAGACUAAUACUCUUGGAUAGUGGACGUUACUCGCAGAAUAAGCACCGGCUAACUCUGUGCCAGCAGCCGCCGUAA